rnacentral:rRNA from 1 species
GACGAACGCUGUCGGCGUGCUUAACACAUGCAAGUCGAACGGAAAGGCCCUGCUUUUGUGGGGUGCUCGAGUGGCGAACGGGUGAGUAACACGUGAGUAACCUGCCCUUGACUUUGGGAUAACUUCAGGAAACUGGGGCUAAUACCGGAUAGGAGCUCCUGCUGCAUGGUGGGGGUUGGAAAGUUUCGGCGGUUGGGGAUGGACUCGCGGCUUAUCAGCUUGUUGGUGGGGUAGUGGCUUACCAAGGCUUUGACGGGUAGCCGGCCUGAGAGGGUGACCGGCCACAUUGGGACUGAGAUACGGCCCAGACUCCUACGGGAGGCAGCAGUGGGGAAUAUUGCACAAUGGGCGGAAGCCUGAUGCAGCAACGCCGCGUGCGGGAUGACGGCCUUCGGGUUGUAAACCGCUUUCGCCUGUGACGAAGCGUGAGUGACGGUAAUGGGUAAAGAAGCACCGGCUAACUACGUGCCAGCAGCCGCGGUGAUGCGUAGGGUGCGAGCGUUGUCCGGAUUUAUUGGGCGUAAAGGGCUCGUAGGUGGUUGAUCGCGUCGGAAGUGUAAUCUUGGGGCUUAACCCUGAGCGUGCUUUCGAUACGGGUUGACUUGAGGAAGGUAGGGGAGAAUGGAAUUCCUGGUGGAGCGGUGGAAUGCGCAGAUAUCAGGAGGAACACCAGUGGCGAAGGCGGUUCUCUGGGCCUUUCCUGACGCUGAGGAGCGAAAGCGUGGGGAGCGAACAGGCUUAGAUACCCUGGUAGUCCACGCUGUAAACGGUGGGUACUAGGUGUGGGGUCCAUUCCACGGGUUCCGUGCCGUAGCUAACGCUUUAAGUACCCCGCCUGGGGAGUACGGCCGCAAGGCUAAAACUCAAAGGAAUUGACGGGGCCCCGCACAAGCGGCGGAGCAUGCGGAUUAAUUCGAUGCAACGCGUAGAACCUUACCUGGGUUUGACAUGGAUCGGGAGUGCUCAGAGAUGGGUGUGCCUCUUUUGGGGUCGGUUCACAGGUGGUGCAUGGCUGUCGUCAGCUCGUGUCGUGAGAUGUUGGGUUAAGUCCCGCAACGAGCGCAACCCUUGUUCACUGUUGCCAGCACGUUAUGGUGGGGACUCAGUGGAGACCGCCGGGGUCAACUCGGAGGAAGGUGGGGAUGACGUCAAGUCAUCAUGCCCCUUAUGUCCAGGGCUUCACGCAUGCUACAAUGGCUGGUACAGAGAGUGGCGAGCCUGUGAGGGUGAGCGAAUCUCGGAAAGCCGGUCUCAGUUCGGAUUGGGGUCUGCAACUCGACCUCAUGAAGUCGGAGUCGCUAGUAAUCGCAGAUCAGCAACGCUGCGGUGAAUACGUUCCCGGGGCU